AAAUAAGAAGCAAUUAUUGCAUUCAGUUUCGACCUGAAAUAUGGUGAAAUCACCCUUGUUUA
rnacentral:tRNA from 1 species